GUCAACAGUAGCACCAAAUCAUCUCCCAAACCAAUCCCUCCCUUACCCACAAAGUCAGUCAAAGUACAGGGGCCAUCAACGGGUGCCCCGCUCGAAACGGCCCCUGUUCGCGACCCGACGGCGAGCCCAGAAGGGGAAGAGGCCAUAGCUGUGGGGACGCGAAGCUUGGAUGGAGGGGGAAAUUGGCGGAUUAUUGGGGCGAAACGAGGGAGAUUUGAGGGAAAUGAAACGGGAGGAUUGAAAG
rnacentral:misc_RNA from 1 species